AGAGUUAGACAGAACAAUUUGCAAAUUCAUC
rnacentral:piRNA from 1 species